rnacentral:rRNA from 1 species
UACGUAGGGGGCAAGCGUUGUCCGGAUUUACUGGGUGUAAAGGGUGCGUAGGCGGCUUUGCAAGUCAGAAGUGAAAUCCAUGGGCUUAACCCAUGAACUGCUUUUGAAACUGCACAGCUUGAGUGGAGUAGAGGUAGGCGGAAUUCCCGGUGUAGCGGUGAAAUGCGUAGAGAUCGGGAGGAACACCAGUGGCGAAGGCGGCCUGCUGGGCUCUAACUGACGCUGAGGCACGAAAGCGUGGGUAGCAAACAGG